UACACAUGCAAGUCGAACGAUGAUCUCCAGCUUGCUGGGGGGAUUAGUGGCGAACGGGUGAGUAACACGUGAGUAACCUGCCCUUGACUCUGGGAUAAGCCUGGGAAACUGGGUCUAAUACCGGAUACGACCGUCCCGCGCAUGCGGUGGUGGUGGAAAGCUUUUGCGGUUUUGGAUGGACUCGCGGCCUAUCAGCUUGUUGGUGGGGUAAUGGCCUACCAAGGCGACGACGGGUAGCCGGCCUGAGAGGGUGACCGGCCACACUGGGACUGAGACACGGCCCAGACUCCUACGGGAGGCAGCAGUGGGGAAUAUUGCACAAUGGGCGAAAGCCUGAUGCAGCGACGCCGCGUGAGGGAUGACGGCCUUCGGGUUGUAAACCUCUUUCAGUAGGGAAGAAGCGAAAGUGACGGUACCUGCAGAAGAAGCGCCGGCUAACUACGUGCCAGCAGCCGCGGUAAUACGUAGGGCGCAAGCGUUAUCCGGAAUUAUUGGGCGUAAAGAGCUCGUAGGCGGUUUGUCGCGUCUGCUGUGAAAGACCGGGGCUCAACUCCGGUUCUGCAGUGGGUACGGGCAGACUAGAGUGAUGUAGGGGAGACUGGAAUUCCUGGUGUAGCGGUGAAAUGCGCAGAUAUCAGGAGGAACACCGAUGGCGAAGGCAGGUCUCUGGGCAUUAACUGACGCUGAGGAGCGAAAGCAUGGGGAGCGAACAGGAUUAGAUACCCUGGUAGUCCAUGCCGUAAACGUUGGGCACUAGGUGUGGGGGACAUUCCACGUUUUCCGCGCCGUAGCUAACGCAUUAAGUGCCCCGCC
rnacentral:rRNA from 1 species